rnacentral:rRNA from 1 species
CAUGUAGGUUGUAUACUAAGCGGGGUCUGAAAUCCCACGGCUCAACCGUGGAACUGGGCUUCGAACUGGUAAACUAGAGUGAAGUAGAGGUAAGCGGAACUUGGGGUGAAGUAGUGAAAUGCAUAGAUAUCCCAGGGAACACCGGUGGCGAAAGCGGCUUACUUGGCUUCAACUGACACUCAAGUGCGAAAGCUAGGGUAGCGAAAAGG